GAUGAACGCUGGCGGCGUGCCUAAUACAUGCAAGUCGAGCGAACAGAUGAGGAGCUUGCUCCUCUGACGUUAGCGGCGGACGGGUGAGUAACACGUGGAUAACCUACCUAUAAGACUGGGAUAACUUCGGGAAACCGGAGCUAAUACCGGAUAAUAUAUUGAACCGCAUGGUUCAAUAGUGAAAGACGGUUUGGCUGUCACUUAUAGAUGGAUCCGCGCCGCAUUAGCUAGUUGGUAAGGUAACGGCUUACCAAGGCAACGAUGCGUAGCCGACCUGAGAGGGUGAUCGGCCACACUGGAACUGAGACACGGUCCAGACUCCUACGGGAGGCAGCAGUAGGGAAUCUUCCGCAAUGGGCGAAAGCCUGACGGAGCAACGCCGCGUGAGUGAUGAAGGUCUUCGGAUCGUAAAACUCUGUUAUUAGGGAAGAACAAAUGUGUAAGUAACUAUGCACGUCUUGACGGUACCUAAUCAGAAAGCCACGGCUAACUACGUG
rnacentral:rRNA from 1 species